rnacentral:snRNA from 1 species
AUUCUGCCUAACAUCUGCGGAACAUCUACUAAAAUUUGAACGAUAUAGAGAAGUAUUAGAGCAUGGCCUCUGCGCAAGGAUGACACCGGAACGAGUGUUGGUGCACUCUGAU